UUAAAAAGCUCGUAGUUGGAUUUCUGCGGGGGCGGGGCGGCCGAACGCUUAUAGCGUUUCGAGCUAGCACUUCCCCUGCAUCCUGCCGCGAACCGUGCUACCAUUAGUUUGGUGGCGCCGGGGAUCGGCUCGUUUACUUUGAGAAAAAUAGAGUGUUCAAAGCAGGCCACACGCCUUGAAUAAGUUAGCAUGGAAUAAUGAUAAAGGACUUCGGUUCUAUUUUGUUGGUGUUCGGGACUGAAGUAGUGAUUGAUAGGGACAGUUGGGGCGGUCCGUAUUCCAAAGCGAGAGGUGAAAUUCUUAGACCUUCGGAAGACGAACAGCUGCGAAAGCGUUCCGCAAGGAUGUUCCCUUUGAUCAAGAACGAAAGUUGGGGGAUCGAAGACGAUCAGAUACCGUCGUAGUCUCAACUAUAAACUAUACCAGCUAGGGAUCGGCCAACGUUUACUUAACAUCGACUUGGUCGGCACCUUAUGAGAAAUCAAAGCAUCUGGGUUCCGGGGGGAGUAUGGUCGCAAGGCUGAAACUUAAAGGAAUUGACGGGAGGGCACCACCAGGAGUGGAGC
rnacentral:rRNA from 1 species